rnacentral:rRNA from 1 species
UGGGGAAUAUUGGACAAUGGGGGGAACCCUGAUCCAGCCAUGCCGCGUGUGUGAAGAAGGCCUUAUGGUUGUAAAGCACUUUAAGCGAGGAGGAGGGUACUGGUAUUAAUACUACCAGCUACUGGACGUUACUCGCAGAAUAAGCACCGGCUAACUCUGUGCCAGCAGCCGCGGUAAUACAGAGGGUGCGAGCGUUAAUCGGAUUUACUGGGCGUAAAGCGUGCGUAGGCGGCUAGUUGAGUCGGAUGUGAAAUCCCCGAGCUUAACUUGGGAAUUGCAUUCGAUACUGGUUAGCUAGAGUGUGGGAGAGGAUGGUAGAAUUCCAGGUGUAGCGGUGAAAUGCGUAGAGAUCUGGAGGAAUACCGAUGGCGAAGGCAGCCAUCUGGCCUAACACUGACGCUGAGGUACGAAAGCAUGGGGAGCAAACAGG